rnacentral:snoRNA from 1 species
GCUUUAACUGAUGAUGAUCUGAUUUUGCAUGUGCUUUCUGACUUAGGACCUGAAUAUAUUUCUGUUGCUACUUACAUAACUGGUCAAGUAAGUGUUGGGAAAAUGAAUGUAAAUGAAGCUUAUGCAAUGCUUUUAAC